ACUGCCUCGUGUGAACAUUGUUUCCUUUUCCCACAGCAAUAUACUGCUCUCAUCAGUCCAGGAAUGUGUCUCAACAUAAACCACAGCCUCAUCUGUUCUUCCAUGAAUAUGUUCCAGCUGGCUCUCGAACUGCCCUGAAAAUUCACUUGAUCUCAGCUUCACACUUGCAACAGAAUGCUUCAGCUGCAGGGUCUGAAACAUCUAGCAUCAGAACGUUUACUAUAGCAAACCUCAUGAAGAAUCUGCCUUCGUUGGUCACAGUGCUAGAACCCAC